ensembl:lncRNA
AGAAGAUCUUCCUGACCCGGGAAUUGAACCAGGGUCUCCUGCACUGCAGGUGGAUUCUUUACCAGCUGAGCUACUAGGGAAGCCCUGACUUGAUGAAGUCAGAGCUAUCUUGAGGAGGCCCACGUGGCAAAGAACCAUUCAGAAUCAGAAUGGGGCCCUCAGUCUUACAACCACAAGGCAAUGAAAUCUGCCAACAAGCAGAAUGAGGUCAGAAAGUAGCUAUCUGUGGUUGAAACUUCAGAUGAAAAUGCAGCCCAACUGAAACCUUGAUUGCAAUCUCGGGAAACCCUGAGCAGAGAACUCUGCUAAGCCACACCUGGACUCCUGACCCACAGAAACCGGUGUUCUUGCCUGGAGAAUCCCUGGGACAGGGAAGCCUGGUGGGCUGCUGUCUAUGGGGUCACACAGAGUCAGACACGACUGAAGUGACUUAGCAGCAGCAGCAGCAAAGGUUCCAAUAUGGCUCUAUUUGUUGUUCAGUCGCUCAGUCGUGUCUGACUCUUUGCCACCCCAUGGACUGCAACACACCAGGUUGCCCUGUUCUUCACCACCUCCUGGAGUUUUGGACUUGCCAGUCUCCAUAAUCUCAAGAGCCAAUUCCUUAUAAU